UCGCCUUUAGCUGACUGGUAACGCGUUUGCUUAUGAAGUGAGAGGCCCGGGUUCAAAUCCCACCUCAGGCGAG
rnacentral:tRNA from 1 species